AGGUGCAGAUUGAUCUGAAUCAAGAAGUAACUAUUCAUGGGUGAAGGGUGGGAAUGAUAAGAUGUUUUUCAGCUAUACAGUGGACUCAUAUAAGGUUCUUAGAAGAGAGGGUGUGGGAAGAAGAAGAGGCGACCUCCAGCGAUGCGUUGCGCCGCAGCUACGUCCUCCCCCGAACAACCAGGGCAAACAAGCGAGGUGUACAAGAGAUGAGCUUCCGCUGCAAGAUUUUGUAGCUAGGCUCAGAUCCGCUAGACUGUUCCAAUGGAUGAGGUAUGUCACUAUUUUUCUUACUUUCCAUCACAAUCUUAAUAAUGAAUAAAUCCAUCCUACUGUUGAUUAAAUAGGAUUAGAAAUGUAGUAGACCAUGCUACUAUCUUGAGACCAGCGAGCUGGAAGCAGUAGCUUCAGUUUGUGGCUAUGAUAGUGGUGCACAGUGUGAGCUUAUUAUAUUACAUGCUAAUUUAGCUAACUUCCUUGCAUACUGUUCUCUAAAACUAUAGUAAGUAGGGUCUGAAAUUUAAAACCGAUGUGCUGCUCCAGUGUAGCCACAUGUAUGGAUCUAUUAGAUUCUUUAGUGCAUAGUUUGGUUUAUCAGGAUUGUCUCGCCUGUAGGGACACCAUCGCUAGGUUGCUUAGAUGUGCCGCAAGCUCCGGCACCGGUUGGUUGUUCAAUUUUCAUUAUGUCUUUUGCCUAAGCAAUAGGAGAAAUGAAUCAAUUUGUCUUUUUAGCGUGUUUCUCAGUUACUCUUUAUUUGGGCCAAUAUGUUUUGUGUGGUUCCAAUUAUUAGAUUGCAUCUGGGACAUACAAAAAUAUUCAGUUAAGUUAUGUAUCUAUUGUGAUUCAAAAAGUCAAGUAUGAGGUAACAAUGUGUAUGGGACUGCUAUUGCAUGGACAAAAUUGGUUCCUACUGCUGCUAUUUGGUUAUUUAUAUACCAUUCUUUCUGCUAUGAAGUUCACAGCUUCUUUUCGCUCCAUUGCCUCACCAAGGUAAUACACUAGAUUUAUCUUGCCGGAGGUGUUCAACGGUAAUAGAAAUUGUUUGCUCUUAUCAAUCUUUCCUAAUCUGCAUUUUUCGGCUCUCCUUCGAUGACAUUGUGCAUGCUAUUAUAAUAUAGCUUAUGGUGACUAAAAUACAGUUGAUAAAAUUUAGAAGAAUAUUGUGCAAUUUUUCCUUUCUUUAUAAGAAUAUGGUGACUAAAAUACAAUUGAUAAACCAUAGGUCUGGAUAAAUAAAUGUGAGGUCUCCAUUCCUUUCUCUUUAUCCUCUGAACUGCUGCAAAUUUCUAAAAUAUCCUUAGGCUACAUUAACUCUUAUUCCAGAUAGUGAGUUUUCUCAGUUUUUAUUUUUUUAAAUGAUGAGAAAAACUAAUAUUAUUAGGAUAUCCAACUGCAUUAUAAUACAGAUUCAUCAAGAAAUUUAGUUCAUAGUGAAUGUGAUGUUUCACUGUUCUGCAGCUCCCAAGCUUUUGGUGUUCUCCUUAUUAUGUACUCUUUGCCUCAGAGAUAAG